GAUAAAGGCAAUUUUGUUUUCUUUUGUUUUUUUAGCCAGUUAGCCAAAAAGCCAACCCUAAAAUAAUUGCAUCCCUUGUUUGAAACCCCCUUGAGCCUAUUAUCCUUUUUUUAUUUAAAACUCAUUACAAGCCGAGAAGUGAAAAACAAUGUUAUCACCCUACUCAAAGGGUUGAAAGAGUCUUGUUUGGAGUUGUGUGGGGUUGAAUAAUUAUGUUUGUGAUAUUUCAGAAGUUGGCAGAAAAAGAAGAAAAAAAAUAGAAAAAAAAGGAAUGAAAAAAUAGAAGGAUAAGAGGAAGAAAAAAUAGAAGAAUAAGAGGAAGAAAAAAAAAGGAAUUAUGUUUGUAAGAUUUCAAUACAUGUCAAUACAUACUCCUUCAAAAAAAAAAAGAGGAAGGAGAAUAAAAAACAAUUACUAUAGAGUUGUUCAAGUGAAUGAAAUAUUUUGUAAAUUCAACUCCCGCAGUUUCUUUCAAGUCUCUUUUAUCUCUUUGAAUUUUAGCCUAGUAACCCUUAGGAUUUAU
rnacentral:lncRNA from 1 species